GUUCCUAAAGAGCUGUCACUCUUUUCCAAGAGAAUUAUUGCUGAAAAUUGUUAUAUACAGGGAAAGUAAGACAGCUAAUGCCGUUUAUACAGAGAAAGUAUGCGUCAACCUCUAUAUGUAGGAGCUCACCAAUAAACUUAGUCAGACCAUAAGUGUCGGAUUGCACCCCAAUCUAAGCUAUCAUCUGACUCCGGGACCUCAGGGUGAAGAUCGCGAACAGAAUCAACCUCACUUGCAU
rnacentral:misc_RNA from 1 species